AUUGAACGCUGGCGGCAUGCCUUACACAUGCAAGUCGAACGGUAACGGGCCUUCGGGUGCCGACGAGUGGCGAACGGGUGAGUAAUACAUCGGAACGUGCCCGAUCGUGGGGGAUAACGAGGCGAAAGCUUUGCUAAUACCGCAUACGAUCUACGGAUGAAAGCAGGGGACCGCAAGGCCUUGCGCGGACGGAGCGGCCGAUGGCAGAUUAGGUAGUUGGUGGGAUAAAAGCUUACCAAGCCGACGAUCUGUAGCUGGUCUGAGAGGAUGAUCAGCCACACUGGGACUGAGACACGGCCCAGACUCCUACGGGAGGCAGCAGUGGGGAAUUUUGGACAAUGGGCGCAAGCCUGAUCCAGCCAUGCCGCGUGCAUGAUGAAGGCCUUCGGGUUGUAAACUGCUUUUGUACGGAACGAAAAGCCUUCUUUUAAUACAGGAGGGUCAUGACGGUACCGUAAGAAUAAGCACCGGCUAACUACGUG
rnacentral:rRNA from 1 species